AUUUAUAUAUUAUCUUUUGUUUCUGAUGAUUUUAGUAUUAUCAACCUGUUAAAUGAUGUAAAAGAAUUUAUGUUUAAAUGCAAAGGGUUAUGUUUUGAAGUAUCAUGUGAUGUAAAAGAGAAGAAAUGAUGAUAAAGAAAAGAAUGCAAAUGUAAAAGUUGAAUGUAUGUAUGUGAUUUAAAGUUAAUCAUAUUACUUUUAUGUUGAUUAGAU
rnacentral:lncRNA from 1 species